AUUGAACGCUGGCGGCAUGCUUUACACAUGCAAGUCGAACGGUAACAGGCCUUCGGGUGCUGACGAGUGGCGUACGGGUGAGUAAUGCAUCGGAACGUACCCAGAGGUGGGGGAUAACGCAGCGAAAGCUGUGCUAAUACCGCAUGUGAUCUGAGGAUGAAAGCGGGGGACCGAGCAGCAAUGUUUGGCCUCGCGCCUUUGGAGCGGCCGAUGUCGGAUUAGCUAGUUGGUGGGGUAAAGGCCUACCAAGGCGACGAUCCGUAGCUGGUCUGAGAGGACGACCAGCCAGACGGGGAGUGAGACACGGCACAGACUCCUACGGGAGGCAGCAGUGGGGAAUUUUGGGCAAUGGGGGCAAGCCUGAUCCAGCAAUGCCGCGUGCGGGAAGAAGGCCUUCGGGUUGUAAACCGCUUUUGGCAGGAGCGAAACGGUGUCCGCUAGUACCGGACGCUAAUGACGGUACCUGCAGAAUAAGCACCGGCUAACUACGUG
rnacentral:rRNA from 1 species